AUUGAACGCUGGCGGCAUGCCUUACACAUGCAAGUCGAACGGUAACAGGUCUUUCGGGAUGCUGACGAGUGGCGAACGGGUGAGUAAUACAUCGGAACGUGCCUAGUAGUGGGGGAUAACUACUCGAAAGAGUGGCUAAUACCGCAUGAGAUCUAUGGAUGAAAGCAGGGGACCUUCGGGCCUUGCGCUACUAGAGCGGCCGAUGGCAGAUUAGGUAGUUGGUGGGAUAAAAGCUUACCAAGCCUACGAUCUGUAGCUGGUCUGGGAGGACGAUCAGCCACACUGGGACUGAGACACGGCCCAGACUCCUACGGGAGGCAGCAGUGGGGAAUUUUGGACAAUGGGCGCAAGCCUGAUCCAGCAAUGCCGCGUGCAGGAUGAAGGCCUUCGGGUUGUAAACUGCUUUUGUACGGAACGAAAAGUCUUGGGUUAAUACCCUGGGAUCAUGACGGUACCGUAAGAAUAAGCACCGGCUAACUACGUGCCAGCCGCCGCAGUAACAC
rnacentral:rRNA from 1 species